CCUACGGGUGGCAGCAGUGAGGAAUAUUGGUCAAUGGGCGCGAGCCUGAACCAGCCAAGUAGCGUGAAGGAUGACUGCCCUACGGGUUGUCAACUUCUUUUAUAAGGGAAUAAAGCGCCUUACGUGUACCUUUUUGCAUGUACCUUAUGAAUAAGGAUCGGCUAAAUCCGUGCCAGCAGCCGCGGUAAUACGGAGGGUCCGGGCGUUAUCCGGAUUUAUUGGGUUUAAAGGGAGCGUAGGCGGGUUGUCAAGGCAGCUGUGAAAGUUUGGGGCUCAACCGUGGACUUGCAGUUGAUACUGGCGGCCUUGAGUACGGGGGAAGUAGGCGGAAUUCGUGGUGUAGCGGUGAAAUGCUUAGAUAUCACGAAGAACUCCGAUUGCGAAGGCAGCUUACUGCAGCGCAACUGACGUUGAUGCUCGAAAGUGUGGGUAUCGAACAGGAUUAGAUACCCGAGUAGUC
rnacentral:rRNA from 1 species